rnacentral:rRNA from 1 species
ACGAACGCUGGCGGCGUGCUUAACACCUGCCAGUCGAACGGAAAGGCCCUGCUUUUGUGGGGUGCUCGAGUGGCGAACGGGUGAGUAACACGUGAGUAACCUGCCCUUGACUUUGGGAUAACUUCAGGAAACUGGGGCUAAUACCGGAUAGGAGCUCCUGCUGCAUGGUGGGGGUUGGAAAGUUUCGGCGGUUGGGGAUGGACUCGCGGCUUAUCAGCUUGUUGGUGGGGUAGUGGCUUACUAAGGCUUUGACGGGUAGCCGGCCUGAGAGGGUGACCGGCCGCAUUGGGACUGGGAUACGGCCCAGGCGCCUACGGGCAGCAACAGUGGGGAGUAUUGAACAGUGAACGGAAGCCUGUUGCAGCAACGCCGCGUGCGGGAUGACGGCCUGCGGAUUGUAGACCGCUUUCGCCUGUGACGAAGCGUGAGUGACGGUAAUGGGUAAAGAAGCACCGGCUAACUACGUG